rnacentral:rRNA from 1 species
UACGUAGGGUGCAAGCGUUUAAUCGGAAUUACUGGGCGUAAAGCGUGCGCAGGCGGUUGUGCAAGACAGAUGUGAAAUCCCCGGGCUUAACCUGGGAACUGCAUUUGUGACUGUACGGCUGGAGUGCGGCAGAGGGGGAUGGAAUUCCGGCGUGUAGCAGUGAAAUGCGUAGAUAUGCGGAGGAACACCGAUGGCGAAGGCAAUCCCCUGGGCCUGCACUGACGCUCAUGCACGAAAGCGUGGGGAGCAAACAGG